rnacentral:rRNA from 1 species
AUUGAACGCUGGCGGCAGGCUUAACACAUGCAAGUCGAACGAGUGGCGGACGGGUGAGUAAUGCUUGGGAAUCUAGCUUAUGGAGGGGGAUAACUACGGGAAACUGUAGCUACUACCGCGUACCAUAGGAUGAGCCCAAGUGGGAUUAGGUAGUUGGUGAGGUAAAGACUCACCAAGCCGAUGAUCUCUAGCUGGUCUGAGAGGCUGACCGGCCACACGGGGACUGAUACACGGCCCAGACUCCUACGUGAGGAAGCAGUGGGGAAUAUUGCGCAAUGGGGGCAACCUGACGCAGCCAUGCCGCGUGAAUGAAGAAGGCCUUCGGGUUGUAAAGUUCUUUCGGUAGCGAGGCGUUAACUACAGAAGAAGCACCGGCUAACUCCGUGCCAGCAGCCGCGGUAAUUC